CAACCAAUGGAGUCACAAUCCAAGAGACAACAACUCAUGGUAAUGUACCUAUCACACUACUGGCCAUGAAAGACCAGGUACUCCUUAUGCCUCCUCUGCCCUUCAAAGAGGCCCCAGAAACUCUCCCUACCUCUAUACUGGAUUCCUCCCCAGAGGUUCAACCACCUUACCUUCACACCUGCUGCAGAGGCACUUACAGUCAUAUCAUAUUCUGACCUGGUCCCAAACUCCACCAGAACCCAAGGGACCAACCUCCAAGGCUGCUGGCCAAGGGGCCUUCUGGAGGCAAUGCCACCACCUUUAUCGUUUAUCACAGGGGAAAGAAUGAUGCUGGUAAUUCUAAGUCAAGGUGGAGGUGGAGGCAGUACCUAACGAGGGAGCCGAGUUUAAGCUGAUGUACCAGAGACCAUUGUCUGGGUCUGGUCUGCCUUCUUUGCCUAUGCAGAAGUGAUUGUGGGAUAACACACAGAAAACUUGAAAACAGAAUGGAACAUGUCUGGGCGAGGGAGCUGCCUAAAGAAGGGUUAAGAUGAUUGGUGUUGGAGGUGUGUGUGUGGGGAGGGCUGUUACCAUGGAAUAGAUUGUGGUACCCAG